GGGGCGGUAGCUCAGUUGGUAGAGCGCAUCGUUCGCAAUGAUGAGGUCGCGUGUUCGACUCACGUCCGCUCCA
rnacentral:tRNA from 1 species